AUGUGCUGCACUUGGCUGCAUUUUGAAAGCAUGUUUAGAAGCAUCUUUUGGCCUUUACUCCUCUUCUUUGCUAUCUGCCGCUUGCUUGCUGGAGUGGAGAGGAUGAACUAUGCUGAGGGCUAUGAAGCUGAAGUACCAUGGAAAGCAGAAGGUGCUAUAAGCCCUUUCCCUGGAGAGUGUAACAACACAAUUCUUGCAUAUUCAGGAAUCACAGAUUUUUCUCAGAAAUUUAAACCAUUUUGCUGCAGGAUUUCAUGAAGGACCAUGGAUCACUGCAGUAGAGAAGUACCAUGGAUCACUUCCGCUGGCAGUUCUGCCCAGCUGUUAAUUACUUCUACACUAUGAAAUGUUCAUAGUUAGACUGCAUGAAUAAUUAAACUAUGUAGCCAAACAGUCUGAAAUAGAUAGAUUGCAUGAAAGUGAAAAACCUAAAUUUGUGUGUGAUGUGUGACAAAAUAUUCCAUUCAAGAGAAGAUGAUUUAUUAAUUACUUAGUUAUCAGCAUAUUUAAGAACAUGAAGAAUAUAAGACGAAUGAGAUUCACAAAUGAAAAUAAAUAUUUCUUUUUUUUCUUCCUUUUUUUUUUU
rnacentral:lncRNA from 1 species